rnacentral:rRNA from 1 species
ACGUUAGCUGCAGAAGAAGCACCGGCUAACUCCGUGCCAGCAGCCGCGGUAAUACGGAGGGUGCGAGCGUUAAUCGGAAUUACUGGGCGUAAAGCGCAUGCAGGUGGUUUGUUAAGUCAGAUGUGAAAGCCCCGGGGCUCAACCUCGGAAUUGCAUUUGAAACUGGCAAACUAGAGUACUGUAGAGGGGGUAGAAUUUCAGGUGUAGCGGUGAAAUGCGUAGAGAUCUGAAGGAAUACCGGUGGCGAAGGCGGCCCCCUGGACAGAUACUGACACUCAGAUCGCGAAAGCGUGGGGAGCAAACAGGAUUAGAUACCCUCGGUAG